rnacentral:lncRNA from 1 species
UUACAUUAACCAUGCGUGAAAGUUUAAAGUUACUUCUAUAUAUUAAUUAACAAUGUAAUUAUAAAUAGGUUAGAAAAAGCAGUAUAUAUAGAGGAGGAUAUGUUUCUGGUAUACAUAAAUAUAAUGAUUAUUGAAGGCACUUGAGUAAUUUCACAAAGCAAGCAUUUUGUUUGGCACCUUCAUUUGAGAAUUGAAACAAACUACACGAUGAAGGGCAUGAAAAGCCCCACCUUUAUUUUACUUUUUAUUUACCAUCAUAAAGGAGCCCACAGAUAUGUUUUGGAGCACCAUAUAUACAAC